GCUUCGAACUGGGGGUGCCGCUGUGCAGCUGAGAUUGAGUACCCGCACUCAAAACCCCUGUACCUGAUCUGGGUUAUGCCAGCGUAGGGAAGUUCGAGCACUUGUGC
rfam:Aneurinibacillus migulanus strain DSM 2895 super7, whole genome shotgun sequence.